CCGCUCGUUUUUUGUCCUGAACCUAAUUUGGUUGAGAUUAUAUGAGGAAGAUAUACAGCCAAGCUAGGAUCAUUAGGCGCGCCGGUUAUCGCGGUACCAAGUUGUGAAGCUGUUGGUGUGAAUAUCAAUAGUCAGGUGGGAAUGAAGGGCGCUGUUUCGGUCAGAACUAUCUUGGCAGCCCUUCGAAGCCACCGACCAGAUGCAGAUGUAAAUAAAACUUCACAUUUUCUUAUAGAAAAUAUCAACCCGAAUUCGAGAUUGUUGGUUGUAACUUUUCUUUUAUAGGAAAAUGCUACAAUCGCUGAGCUGCUAAAACUAAUUGCUAGAUAACUGAUUUACGAGGUAAUAUGGUAAAGGAGGUAAGUUUUCCCUCUUUUGCCCCCAUUAAGUCUUUCCUUAGCUGUAAUGUCAUUUUGAAAAUUCUGAGGGAAAAGAUAAUUUUGCUCUUCCGUAGGAACUUACUCCCUCUCGGCAAUUAACUAAUGUCAUUUAGGACAGUUUUUUAGUAGACUUGCCCACAUGUAAUUAUGUGCUUGAAGGCUUAAAUUUCAGCUUUUAAAUCUUGACAGAUUCCCAUACUCUACCUGGACUUGAGAAGGACCUAUCCACGCUAUGAGAUGGCUGAUGAGGGUUCUGGAUGUGUUGCAAAUGUAUGGCUCGGUAUAUAGUUCGUUCAGCCGGCUCAGAUGUGCCCCUAAUGAGCUUGGAACCAUCAGAGUAAUCUGUGUUUGUUCGUGAGUUUGUAAUAAGCUUAGCAACAUUCAGUGUACCAGUAGCAUGUACCAUUGACUCUGCUGCGCAGUGUCUGUGCAGGUAUUAGACAUACGGAGAUGGACUUUAUAGACCCAAAAAAAAUCGUAUUGUCAAUUUUUCAGAGGAAAGUGUUACCGAGUUAUUUUGAGAGUUAUAUGGUUUGGUUUGUUGGACUAGCCAAGUCUUUCAUAACAUUCUAUCCAGGCUAGCCUAAGGCAGGUUUUUGCAAUGCAAUGCUCAAAAAUGGCUCUGUGUUUGGUUGGAUAGAUAAACAAUUUUUGACUAAUGCAAGCUUGUGUUUGGUUGGCC
rnacentral:lncRNA from 1 species